GUCAGAAUCAAAAUAUUUAGGCUGCCUCCCAUGUGUGUUCUAAAUCAGGCUGAGCUCUUGCACAGAAAUGUGAAAUAAAUAAGCAAACCCUCCCUGGGGGCUCGUGCACACACAGAUAGGAAACCAUUCUUAUUAGGGGAAAGUAAACUGUGUUUGGUAAAUCCAGAAACUGAAUCCAUACAGAUUUAAUGCAGAAAAUGCAUGUAUCCCCCUUUGUAACAUUAGCAUGAGUCCACUAUUUCUUUUCCAGCAACACCCAGAACUGGGCCACAGUUUCCACCCUGCACUCCUGAUUUGAAACAACAACAAUAACCACAGAAGGGUUUUACAAAGUUAAGGGGCAGCACAAUCACUGUUGUCUCUGUUAGCCAGGUCUUCAGCAGGAAGAGGGAAGAACAUAUUUCUGGAGGCUCUGGAGCAGAUUCAUGGAUUCUGGAGUAUUUUCUUCUCCCCAGACAUCAUUCCAGGGCAUGUUUUUUAGAUGGCCUACCUGGCCAAGAUGAAUGUCAAACCUGAGCACUGUAAUGUGUUAGCAAUGAGGAGAAUCUAAGAUACUUUUUGUCUCAACAAAGAAACAAGUCAUAAAUCAUAAGUAAGACACCUGCUGUUGCUUUUUCUGAUCUUUUUUUUCCUUGGCUUGAGGUUUUUGAAAAAACCUGACAGUGACUUUAAAGCUUUGGGGGGACUUUGCACCUUCAGAAAGAGGAAGGUAAACUUUGAGGUUAUGAUAAGGCUGCAGAAACACAGCAGAGAGUUAAAACAGUGAAUAUAUUCACUGAAGGCAGGAUUACACUAAAUCUUGUAUGUUU
rnacentral:lncRNA from 1 species